UUAAAUGUGCUUGCUUAAGAGAAAAUAUUUGUUGUAACAUCAAAGAAUGUUCGUUUUUUGAAUAUUAAGAUGUUUUCUUAUACCUGAAGCACUCUGUUCCCUCUAGAAAAAUCAUAAACACACAGAAAAUGUACUUGACAGUAAUUGAAAUGAUCAUACGGUUCAUGGCAUGCAUGAAUCAUUACAUCGGAUUAAAAACAUGCAUGUCUCGUUCUGCUUCUUCUAAAAACGUCGCCAAGAUAGCGUCAUGUUGAAGCCGGGCUUGUGCGAGUUGUUGCUGCAGCAUGGCCAAUCUCAGAUGUCGCGGUGCCAAAGCCAUUGUGGUUGAUUGACCAUGCUAGAUCAAGAAGUUCCUAGCCGAAUAAGACUGUUGGUAUUGUUUACAUCAUUUGAACAAAGCUGGAAUGGCUGCCUGACCUGACUCAGUAAUCCGAUGGCGAUACAUCGCACUAGAAAAUAGUAUUGAGAUGGACAAAAUGACAAAGCGCAGCCUAGUCAGGACAGAAAACCCGAGCCUACUGAAGCUGACAGAUUGUACAAGAAAUAUAUGAAUGCAGUCUGCAGUUGUUGCAGUGAAAUUUGCACCAGUGUGUUUUAUGCAGUGGAGAUCAAGAGAUAGUUCCCAGCGAUGAUGAGGAACCAAUUCCUGAUCUGACAUUGUGGGCCGAUAUGCAAUAACUGUGUGGCGAAUGGGAAAAAAACUGCUGUCUGGAUUGCGCUUAAAUCAACAAAAGAAAAGAGUGAAAUUAAACUUGAAUAACUUGAAUGAUGUAAUAACAUUUCUUUCGUAUGACAUUUAUUCAUUGUACAGUGAAAACAUGCUUAUGUUCUUAUGAUUAUAUUAAUUUAAAAUUUGUACGAUAAAAAGCAACACUGUAAAGUUUAUUGUCAGAUCAAAACACAUGCACAUGCAUGUUAAAAUAUCAAUAUAGUAUGACAUGUUGUAUAUUGUGAAAGUUAUUUAACAGAAUUAACAAAACAUAUUUAUAUAAGCAUUUAUUCAAUUUCAAAAUCAUGUGUUUUUAUACUCUCACAACAUAUGUGUGCAUAUAGAUAUGCCCUUGUCCGUCCGUGCGUGUGGGGGUCAGUGUUUGAUUCCAUACCAACCUGUGUCGCCUAAAAUUCCAAAACUAUUUCACCUAGAGUCAAGAAUCUUUGGUGGAAUAUUAUUAAGGUGAUGAAGUUUUGCGCCUAGGGUUUCGUUUCCCGCUUCUAUACGUAAAACAAUAGUUAUGGCCAUUGAAUUAGCAAUAAUUGGCAUUUCUAGACUCGUGUCGAUAAAAACUACAAAACUGUAUUAUUUAGGGUUAUAGGGGAAUGUCAAAGGGAUAAUGCAAUUAUGUACCUUGGGGUUUGUUUGGCGCUGUACUCGGUAAAACCAGAAUUAUGGCCCUUUAUAAAACUUUGCAUUUCUGGACUUGUGUCGGUCAAAAGUCCAAAUCUGUAUUACCUAGUCAUAAAACUAGAAUGUUAUUGGGGUGUUGUAUUUUUGCACCUGUGUUUUCGUUUCCCGCUGCACUUAGAAAACAAUAACAGUAAUAUUGCCGUUAAAUUAGAAAAAAAGGCAUUUCUGGAUUUGUGUCGGUCAAAUCUCCAAAACUAUAUGACCGGGAUUUAUAAAAGCUUGAGGGAACGAUGUUGGAGUGAUGAAGUUGUGCACCUGGGUUUUAGUUUCACACUGUACUUUGUAAGACCAGAGUUAUGACCCUUGAAUUAGCAAAAUUGGUAUUUCUGGAUUUGAGUUGUUCAAAACAAAAACAAAACACUAUUACCUAGAGUCAUGAAACUCGAAGGAAUUUUAAUGGUGUGAUGAAAUUGUGCACCUGGAGUUUUGUUUGCCUCUGCACAUAGUAUAUCCAGCGUAAUGGCCAUUGCAAAAGCAAAACUUGGCAUUUUUAACUUGUUGUACUUGUGUCACUCAUACAUUCAAAUGUUUUAGUCAUACACUCAUGAUAUCUUUCAGGAAGGUAUUUGAUGUUAUUAAGUUGGGGAACUCAUUAUUUUGAUGCACAUUUAUGGCGAAUGGACAAAAUAAUGGUCCAUGUCUUUGUGACACACGCGGCACAUGGGGGCAUCCGUUUGCUUACUUUCCGACUUUGGAAUUUUGAGAAUUGUCAUCAACAUUAUGAUAAAUACAAGUAUUGUUUAAAGUGGACUAAAUUGUCUGGGUUUUUUGGUCAAUUCCCACAUCCAAUCCGAAAAUUUGGAAAAAAGUUAACCAACAAAUUAAUAAACAAAGCAAAUGCCCAAUGAUGGGAAUAUAGUAGUCAUUAUUUUUUGCAGUCUUAAAAUAGCAUAUACAACUUGUAGGCAUGGUUCCAUAGUUUCCAUAUGGCUUAAUAUACCUGACUGUAAGUCAAUAAUAUGAACUUGUCCAGGUAUUUUCUUAUAGUUCUGUAUUACCCUAAUGACAUGCCACGCGAUACUCAAACAAUAUCAAAAAGAACGUUGCAGGUUUGAAGUUAAGAACAUGUUUUGUCUGACAUGCAUAUUUAUUUGCACUUUUAUUAUAUGUGAAAU